UACGGGGGGGGCAAGCGUUGUUCGGAAUUACUGGGCGUAAAGGGCUCAUAGGCGGCCAACUAAGUCAGACGUGAAAUCCCUCGGCUUAACCGGGGAACUGCAUCUGAUACUGGAUGGCUUGAGUUCGGGAGAGGGAUGUGGAAUUCCAGGUGUAGCGGUGAAAUGCGUAGAUAUCUGGAGGAACACCGGUGGCGAAGGCGGCAUCCUGGACCGACACUGACGCUGAGGAGCGAAAGCCAGGGGAGCAAACGGG
rnacentral:rRNA from 1 species